rnacentral:rRNA from 1 species
AUGGCGGAAAGUGAAGAGAGAGGUCGGCCCGAUGUUCUUGGAUCUGUAGGACAUGGAAGAAUUGCCUUGUGGCAUGGCAAGGUCAGUAGAGAGGGCAUUGCCAUGAUCCAACCAUCAUUCUUGAGGCAUUUGCAUCACAUGAUCUUUGGAUUUGACAUGCAUACUCCAGGAUGCCUGGCUCUCAUAAUGAUCUCAGUGUCCUCUCUUGAUAUCCUCUUUUUACAAGGCUUGUUGCCGGUGACAAUCCACCUUGCAACUAUGUUGUCAAUGGCAAUGAGUACAACAUGGGAUACUACCUAG